rnacentral:rRNA from 1 species
GAUGAACGCUGACAGAAUGCUUAACACAUGCAAGUCAACUUGAACUUCGGUUUGGGUGGCGGACGGGUGAGUCACGCGUAAAGAACUUGCCUCACAGCUAGGGACAACAUUUGGAAACGAAUGCUAAUACCUGAUAUUAUGAUUAUAUGGCAUCGUAUAAUUAUGAAAGCUAUAUGCGCUGUGAGAGAGCUUUGCGUCCCAUUAGCUAGUUGGAGAGGUAACAGCUCACCAAGGCGAUGAUGGGUAGCCGGCCUGAGAGGGUGAUCGGCCACAAGGGGACUGAGACACGGCCCUUACUCCUACGGGAGGCAACAGUGGGGAAUAUUGGACAAUGGACCGAGAGUCUGAUCCAGCAAUUCUGUGUGCACGAUGAAGUUUUUCGGAAUGUAAAGUGCUUUCAGUUGGGAAGAAAAAAAUGACGGUACCAACAGAAGAAGUGACGGCUAAAUACGUG